GAUGAACGCUGGCGGCGUGCUUAACACAUGCAAGUCGAACGAAGCACCUUGGAAUGCGUCUUCGGACAAGUGAAUUGGUGACUUAGUGGCGGACGGGUGAGUAACGCGUGGGUAACCUGCCUCACACAGGGGGAUAACAGUUAGAAAUGACUGCUAAAACUGCAUAACAUGGCGAGACCGCAAGACCUUACCAUCCAAUAUUUAUAGGUGUGAGAUGGGCCCGCGUCUGAUUAGCUAGUUGGUGAGGUAAUGGCUCACCAAGGCGACGAUCAGUAGCCCGCUUGAGAGAGUGAACGGCCACAUUGGGACUGAGACACGGCCCAAACUCCUACGGGAGGCAGCAGUGGGGGAUAUUGGACAAUGGGGGAAACCCUGAUCCAGCGACGCCGCGUGAGUGAAGAAGUAUUUCGGUAUGUAAAGCUCUAUCAGCAGGGAAGAAAAAUAACCAAAUUGACUGUACCUGACUAAGAAGCCCCGGCUAACUACGUGCCAGCAGCCGCGGUAAGAC
rnacentral:rRNA from 1 species